GGGUGAGUAAUGCCUGGGAAUUUGCCCAUUUGUGGGGGAUAACAGUUGGAAACGACUGCUAAUACCGCAUACGCCCUACGGGGGAAAGCAGGGGACCUUCGGGCCUUGCGCUGAUGGAUAAGCCCAGGUGGGAUUAGCUAGUAGGUGAGGUAAAGGCUCACCUAGGCGACGAUCCCUAGCUGGUCUGAGAGGAUGAUCAGCCACACUGGGACUGAGACACGGCCCAGACUCCUACGGGAGGCAGCAGUGGGGAAUAUUGCACAAUGGGGGAAACCCUGAUGCAGCCAUGCCGCGUGUGUGAAGAAGGCCUUCGGGUUGUAAAGCACUUUCAGCGAGGAGGAAAGGGUGUAAGUUAAUACCUUACAUCUGUGACGUUACUCGCAGAAGAAGCACCGGCUAACUCCGUGCCAGCAGCCGCGGUAAUACGGAGGGUGCGAGCGUUAAUCGGAAUUACUGGGCGUAAAGCGUGCGCAGGCGGUUUGUUAAGCGAGAUGUGAAAGCCCCGGGCUCAACCUGGGAACCGCAUUUCGAACUGGCAAACUAGAGUCUUGUAGAGGGGGGUAGAAUUCCAGGUGUAGCGGUGAAAUGCGUAGAGAUCUGGAGGAAUACCGGUGGCGAA
rnacentral:rRNA from 1 species